CCCAGACAAGGUUCCCAGAGGAUCAGGCUGGGGGAAAUAGAGACAUAGAUACAAACAGAGUCAAAGCAGGACAAUCACAGUAUCUGCAGCAGCCGAAGCAAUCGCAGGGUGUCCUCAAGAUCAAGUUCCCCAACCUAAAAGCUAGAGCGGCAAAAAUUGCAGCUGGAAAAAAAAGAGGUUUCAGGUGGAGGAGCAGGAACUGAGCUGGAAUGUCAGAAGCUGGCUGAUCAGGAAAAGACAAAACCGAGUGAGCCAAACAUGAGAAACAGCAGCAAAAGCAAUUUGGAAACUGAGAACCUGAGGAGCAAGAGAUCACAUGUGAAUGGUCAACUGCUGCCAUUCCCCCAUCGACUCCACCUACGCUUCUCACUCCAGUGGGGUACUGAAGUCGACGGGAGAGCGCUCGGUGGUUGAUUUAUCGCAUCUUCACUACACGCGAUAAAUCGACCUCCACUGGAUCAUUCGCUCCGGAGUGCAGGAAAAGACAGACACAUCGCUGGAGAUUAGCUGCUCACAACAUGUAUGAAGACCUGGAGGCAAAACUUCAAUGAAGCUACUCUGAUUUACACCAGAUGAGGAUUUGGUUUCGGGAGUAUUUCUCUGCCAAGAAUCAUCAAAAUAUUUCAGUCCACUAAAUUUAACAGCAUUUGCCAUGUGGUUAUUUCUCUCUUGAAAGAUUCCAAGAGGAAGCAGCUAUGUACAAAUGUAAAGUUAUCUUUCCUAAUUUCUCUGAAACACAAGUUAUAGCUGAAAAUAAGGCACUUAAAGUCUGCAACUUAUUUCCUCUUCUUUGAAUGAUUACUAUAAAUGUAAGUCUCACUAGAUGGUACUCAGAUCAGACAUUUUAGUAUUAAAUGGAUUUGCAAAUAUAUGUGUGUAUAUAGCUUUAAAUGGUUGCUUAUAAUUACCUCAUACAAUGAAUAAAGUUUGUAACACAUAAGCAAAGAUACCAAAUAAUUAUUUAAUAUGAUUGUAUUUAUUACAUAAUGUUUUCAUGUUCCUACCCAAAAAUAAUUAUGCUAAAAUAACAUUUAAGCCACAUCUACACUACCUGCCAGAUCGGCGGGUAGUGAUCGAUCUAUCGCAUCUAGUGUAGAUGCAAUAAAUCGAUCCCCGCUCUGCUGUCGACUCCAGAAUGCCACCAGGGUGAGAGGCAGAAGCGGAGUCGACGGGGGAGUGGCAGCCGUUGAUCCCGCGCAGCGAGGACAUGAAGUAAGUGAUUCUAAGUCGAUCUAAGAUACAUUGACUUCAGCUACGCUAUUCUCAUAGCUGAAGUUGCGUAUCUUAGAUCGAUCUCCCCCCCCCCCCCCAUGUAGACCAAGCCUUAGAUUCUUCAACAUAGAAUUUCAUAGUGGGGAAAAAACAAUAAAAAGUUACAUUAAGUCUUGGAUCUAGUUACCUUUCAUGUGUUUUUUUCAUAAUUUUCCUUGCUACUGUUAUUAAUGAUAAA